rnacentral:rRNA from 1 species
GUAGGUGGCAAGCGUUGUCCGGAAUUAUUGGGCGUAAAGCGCGCGCAGGCGGUUCUUUAAGUCUGAUGUGAAAGCCCACGGCUCAACCGUGGAGGGUCAUUGGAAACUGGAGAACUUGAGUACAGAAGAGGAAAGCGGAAUUCCACGUGUAGCGGUGAAAUGCGUAGAGAUGAGGAGGAACACCAGUGGCGAAGGCGGCUUUCUGGUCUGUAACUGACGCUGAGGCGCGAGAGCGUGGGGGGAGCAAACAGGAUUAGAUACCCUGGUAGUCCACGCCGUAAACGAUGAGUGCUAAGUGUUAGGGGGUUUCCGCCCCCCCCUUAGUGCUGCAGCUAACGCAUUAAGCACUCCGCCUGGGAGUACGGCCGCAAGGCUG